rnacentral:lncRNA from 1 species
UUUUCACCAAAUUCCAUAUUUUCCGGGUAGACAUGGUACGUUGCUAGACGUCAAUCUUGUUUUAUAGGUUUGAUCAAAUUAAAGAGUUUAAUUCGAUCACCAAUUAGAAAGGAUUCUAAUUGUUAAGUUUGGGUUCGCGUAGUUUGGACUUAAAUCGAUUAGAAGAGUUCUAAUCAAGUUGGGUCAACUCGCACUCACACCUAUUGCUGGCUAAGUAUGGAACCCAAUGGGUCACACACAAGAAAACUUAUCAAGGGUCUAAUUUGAUUAGAUCAUGUUUGCAAGAUAAACAUCCAGCAGAUGUUGCAAACCUUAGCUCCUGAUUCGAAUUGGAUUCGAAUCUGAUUCGAAUUGGAUUCGAAUCUGAUUCGAAUUGGAUUCGAAUCUGAUUCUUAAUUGAUCUAAUUUGAUUAGAUCAUGUUCUAAUAUGGGUUAGCCAAGAGUUGGCACCUAAUUGGCUUGUUUUAAGUCUAAUUAGAUUAGAUUUGAUAAAUCAUUUAUUUUUUGACCAUUAGAUCUUCAUCUACCGUUGGAUGAAGACAUAAUGGUAAGUUGGUUUGAACCUAAUUGGAUUGGGUUAGAAGGAGCCUUUAAUCAUGACCAUUUGAUCUUCAUCAGCCAUUGGAUGAAGACAUAAUAUGAUCAUGAUGAGGUGCCUUGCAUGGGGACCAUUGGAUCAUCCUAGAACCGUUGGAUGAUGACAUAACUCCCCUUA